ensembl:lncRNA
AGAUCUGCAACUUUGCCAGCAAUCCUUGAUCUUCAUCUGUCUCUGGUGGCCCAGAAAAGUUGAGGAUACAUCAUCCCUGCAGAUGUUCAAGGACGGGUUGGAUGGGGCCCUGGGCAGCCUAAUCUGCUCGAGGCAUGUGGACACACACAGGUGGUCUUUGCCUUGGAAGAUCUUCUUACACAUGCUGACAGCAAAGCUGCAGAGCAAGUCUUUCCUGAUUUCAUGGUGCAGAUGUAAAGGCUGCUUCAUGCAAGGCUGUCCUUUAUACACUUGAUGCCCCUCUCGCUGCUGGAGCUGCUCUGAAGUCUUCAUAGGAGGGAUAGGUUUUACUAGAAACUUUCAGCAGACAGUCAGAAGAUGAUGAGUACCAACAGGUUCCACGGCUGCAUUCACUUUGCUGGGAGAUGCUGCAGAAUGUAAAUUUCUCUAAUGACAGCUUCUUCAAACCCUUUUCAGUCUUGUCAAGAUUCCUUAUUAAUAGCAGAGAAGUAAUCUUAGUCUUUCAAUGGCAGCAAUUCUCUAGGCAACUGCUGAAUUUGUAAGAAUACAGAUGGUGCCUGCCAUUUCUUUUUUUUUCAGUACCACACUGCAUUCCUCACCUGACAUGUGGAACUUGUUUGCUACUAUAAUGCGUCAGCUGCAGACACUUUUCUUAGAGGUAAAAGCAGUUUUGCUUGCAUUUUUCUUGGCAGCAUUGAAUUUUGCCCACCUGCAGGCAAGAUUAAUUUUUUUUUCCCCUUCUGAGAUAGCAGAGCUCGUGAUGGUGAUCUGAUUUGAAACUUGUUGGCACGGUGCCUUUUCCUCUCUGCCACUGUAAACUGAUAGAGCUAAGCAUCCCUCUCCUUGUAAACAGGCAAGCAUCUAGGUAAGACUUUCAUGGCAUUUAAAGUGUUUAAAUGGAAGUGUUAUUCUUCGGGCUGUAUCUCGCAGAUGACAAUUCUAUGAUUGAAUAAAACCCAACU